AUUGAACGCUGGCGGCAUGCUUUACACAUGCAAGUCGAACGGCAGCAUAGGUGCUUGCACCUGAUGGCGAGUGGCGAACGGGUGAGUAAUAUAUCGGAACAUGUCCGGAAGUGGGGGAUAACGUAGCGAAAGUUACGCUAAUACCGCAUAUGCCCUGAGGGGGAAAGGGGGGGAUCGUAAGACCUCUCGCUUUCGGAGUGGCCGAUAUCGGAUUAGCUAGUAGGUGUGGUAAAGGCUCACCUAGGCGACGGGCCGUAGCUGGUCUGAGAGGACGACCAGCCACACUGGGACUGAGACACGGUCCAGACUCCUACGGGAGGCAGCAGUGGGGAAUUUUGGACAAUGGGGGCAACCCUGAUCCAGCCAUGCCGCGUGAGUGAAGAAGGCCUUCGGGUUGUAAAGCUCUUUCGUCCGGGAAGAAAUCGCAUUGGCUAAUACCUGAUGUGGAUGACGGUACCGGAAUAAGAAGCACCGGCUAACUACGUGCCAGCAGCCGCCGUAACAC
rnacentral:rRNA from 1 species